rnacentral:rRNA from 1 species
UACGAGGGGUGCAAGCGUUGCUCGGAAUUAUUGGGCGUAAAGGGUAGGUAGGUGGUCUCGUUUGUCUGGGGUGAAAGCCUUGAGCUUAACUCAAGAAGUGCCCUAGAAACGGCGAGACUAGAGUCUUGGAGAGGGUCGUGGAAUUCCCGGUGUAGCGGUGAAAUGCGUAGAGAUCCGGAAGAACACCAGUGGCGAAGGCGGCUCACUGGCCCGGUACUGACGCUGAGGCACGAAAGCGUGGGGAGCAAACAGG